UACGUAGGGUGCAAGCGUUAAUCGGAAUUACUGGGCGUAAAGCGUACGCAGGUGGCUAUGUAAGACAGGUGUGAAAUCCCCGGGCUUAACCUGGGAACUGCGUUUCUAACUGGCAGGCUUGAGUGUGGCAGAGGGGGGUGGAAUUCCACGUGUAGCAGUGAAAUGCGUAGAGAUAUGGAGGAACACCAGUGGCGAAGGCGACUUUCUGGUCUGUAACUGACACUGAGGCGCGAAAGCGUGGGGAGCAAACAGG
rnacentral:rRNA from 1 species